UUGACAUUGGUUCGCCAUACUGUGUGUAAGUACGAGUAUAAUACACAUACUACAGAUAAAACAUUUAUACAUAGAAUAUUUAAAAUGUCUUUCAAAAGCAUUAGUUUAUAAAUAUAUGUUGGAAAGAGUACAGAUAAAAAACAUUUCAAUGAAUAUGAAAGUUCGUAUACGUGAAAUCACAAACGCUAUAGAGGAACCAGUACAAAAGACGUCAAAUGCUCCUGGAAGAUGUGCUUUUUGUAAUUGGAAAAAAACCGAAAAACAUCAAAUUUGUGUAACGAGUGUCAAUCAUAUAUAUGUAAGGAACAUACAGCGCCUUUGACAUGCCAAAACUGUUCACAACAAACGAUGGAAGAUAAUUUUUUUUUAGAAUAAAAUAUUUUAUAUAAUUAAUAACCUAAUAUGUAAAACGUUUAUAUGAAAAUUUAAU